rnacentral:rRNA from 1 species
AGAGGUUCAUUCUGGCUCAGGAUGAACGCUAGCUACAGGCUUAACACAUGCAAGUCGAGGGGCAUCGGGAAGAAAGCUUGCUUUCUUUGCCGGCGACCGGCGCACGGGUGAGUAACACGUAUCCAACCUGCCCUUUACUCGGGGAUAGCCUUUCGAAAGAAAGAUUAAUACCCGAUAGUAUAAUGAUUCCGCAUGGUUUCAUUAUUAAAGGAUUCCGGUAAAGGAUGGGGAUGCGUUCCAUUAGGUUGUUGGUGAGGUAACGGCCCACCAAGCCUUCGAUGGAUAGGGGUUCUGAGAGGAAGGUCCCCCACAUUGGAACUGAGACACGGUCCAAACUCCUACGGGAGGCAGCAGUGAGGAAUAUUGGUCAAUGGGCGCUAGCCUGAACCAGCCAAGUAGCGUGAAGGAUGAAGGCUCUAUGGGUCGUAAGCUUCUUUUAUAUAAGAAUAAAGUGCAGUAUGUAUACUGUUUUGUAUGUAUUAUAUGAAUAAGGAUCGGCUAACUCCGUGCCAGCAGCCGCGGUAAUACGGAGGAUCCGAGCGUUAUCCGGAUUUAUUGGGUUUAAAGGGAGCGUAGGUGGACUGGUAAGUCAGUUGUGAAAGUUUGCGGCUCAACCGUAAAAUUGCAGUUGAUACUGUCAGUCUUGAGUACAGUAGAGGUGGGCGGAAUUCGUGGUGUAGCGGUGAAAUGCUUAGAUAUCACGAAGAACUCCGAUUGCGAAGGCAGCUCACUGGACUGCAACUGACACUGAUGCUCGAAAGUGUGGGUAUCAAACAGGAUUAGAUACCCUGGUAGUCCACACAGUAAA